rnacentral:rRNA from 1 species
AGCGAACGCUGGCGGCAGGCCUAACACAUGCAAGUCGAACGAACUCUUCGGAGUUAGUGGCGGACGGGUGAGUAACACGUGGGAACGUGCCUUUAGGUUCGGAAUAACUCAGGGAAACUUGUGCUAAUACCGAAUGUGCCCUUCGGGGGAAAGAUUUAUCGCCUUUAGAGCGGCCCGCGUCUGAUUAGCUAGUUGGUGAGGUAAAGGCUCACCAAGGCGACGAUCAGUAGCUGGUCUGAGAGGAUGAUCAGCCACAUUGGGACUGAGACACGGCCAAAACUCCUACGGGAGGCAGCAGUGGGGAAUCUUGCGCAAUGGGCGAAAGCCUGACGCAGCCAUGCCGCGUGAAUGAUGAAGGUCUUAGGAUUGUAAAAUUCUUUCACCGGGGACGAUAAUGACGGUACCCGGAGAAGAAGCCCCGGCUAACUUCGUGCCAGCAGCCGCCGUAACAC